AUCAAGUGUAUACAAAAGGCUAGAUCUUUGAUGUACAUGUAUCUAUCCUAACCACCCAAGAACCCAUGUUUUUCCCAUCUCUUUGGAAAAGAUUUUCGACCAUCUUACUCUCUUUCUCUCAACCAAAAAUACCUCUCCAAGAACCCUAGUUCUCUUCUUCAUCUUGGAUCAAAGAAAGAACAAGAAAAAUCAAUCCGUUAAUUCAAUAACAUAUUGUUGAUUUUUCACUCUUUUCUUUCCCAUUCUUGCUAGCAUGGGGAGGAGACAAUCUCCAGAGGUGGUGUGGAUGGUUUAGAGGGUCUCUUCAUUGAGAUCUAACCAUGGAGCGGAUCAAAGACUUGGAACAAUGCAAGAAGCCGAUCAAAGAAAAACUACGAGGAAUUUGCAGAAAACAAACAAAGGAAUUUUUCCAGAAUACAGACAGCAGCACCGGCGCACGCACGCGCCCUAUGCGCCAUUGUGCGGCAGGCUGGCCUUCCUUCUUUGGAAGAAUAAUGCUUGCUUUCUCCUUCCCUUUGUACUCCCCCAAAUUGCUGAUUGGCGCUUUUUAAUUUUUUAUGAUGUAAUGAGAGUAGAUAGGAGGUGAAGAAUUUUUUAUUUUUUGUAAAUAAAAUUUAAGGAAGGCAAGCCCAAGGCAAUGGAGGCCCAUGAAGGAGGUUAUUGGAUGGCCACAGAGGAUCCAUGGAGAAGAGGUCCAGUGGAGCCCACGAUGAAGAGCCUAAGAGAAUAAAGAGGAGACUUACAAGGACCACAAAAAUGUUAAUGGGUUAUAAAACUUGUAAUAACAUAAGCCUAAUCCAGACUAACCAUAGACCCACUGUAGGCUCAGUGGAUCGCAUAGGUUAUUAGGUUCUGUGAUCAUCCAAAAGGGACAUGCUAGGCUAUUUUGCAUACGAUGCAUUUUUUAUACUUUUCAUAUUUAAUAUAUUAUGCAUGCAAAAUAUAAAGA